AUGCAGCAGCAGUAAGAAGAAGAUAUGUUUCAGAAAAGUAAACAUUUGCCGUUUAAACAGCCGGUUCCAAUUCCGAAUAAAGGAGGAGGGAAGUCAGUUUUCUUCUAAUUGGCGCAAUCGUAUGUUUUAUUUUUGGCGCAAAUGAUACCAUGUAAUUUUAAAACAUGUGGCGCAAACGUAGCAAUGGAGAAAAAAAGUUGUGGCGCAAAAGGAUGCAUUUUUGGCGCAAACGGAUCUC
rnacentral:lncRNA from 1 species